GUCUGCUUGAAGAUAUAAGAAGUCUAGCCUGCUCUCUGAUAAGUUUAAGGGCCGCGGUAAUCUGACCGUGCAAAGGUAGCAUAAUAGUUAGUUUUUUAAUUGGAAUCUUGUAUGAAUGGUUGGACAAAAGAAAUACUGUCUCUAUAACUUUAUUUGAAUUUAACUUUUAAGUGAAAAGGCUUAAAUAUAUUAAAAAGACGAUAAGACCCUAUAAAGCUUUAUAAGAAAUUUUUAUUUAGUUAAUGUAAAUAAUAAAAUCUUAAUAUUUAGUCUUAUUUUAUUGGGGAGAUAAAAUUAUAAUUUAAUGUAACUGAGUUUUAGUGAAACAAAGAUAAAUGUUUGUAAUAGUUAAAAGAUCCUAAAUAUGGAUUUUAAGUUCAAGUUACUUUAGGGAUAACAGCG
rnacentral:rRNA from 1 species